CUCCUGUCCAGAAGGCAGGUGUGGGAUCAGUUCCCAGAUCAGUUGAGCGCGGCCGGCUAGUCAUCGCUACCUGUCAUUAGGCUGGACGGCCUCGCAGAGCUGAGGAUCCGCCGUAUCCCGCCUGGGAGGUCACUGCAGUGUGAGUCUCCGGCACAGGUGAGAUGGACAGAACUUGAUGUGCACAAAAAGCUGUUUGACCACUGUCUGCAUCUUCCCAGGAUCUCAGAAGGGCACGUGUGAGCUCCUAACAGCCCCUCACCCAUCUCUGGUGGUCCAGCACCUUGGUUCUCCGAGUGGGACUCCCUGACCAGCAGCAUCAGCACCACCUGGGAACUUGUUAAAAAAUGCGCAUGCUCAUGUCCCACCCCAGACCUGAAAAAUCAGAAUCCCUGUGGGUGGGUACAGAGGUCUGCACUUUGUCAAGCGCUCCAGUGACUCUGAUGCAAACUGCUGCUGUCAUAAUCGUUAGGAGCUGGAGUCCUGCAGUCAGACAGACCUGGCUUUGAAUCACAGCUCUGCCACUUAGCAG
ensembl:lncRNA